rnacentral:tRNA from 1 species
UUCCCCGUAGUCUAAUGGUUAGGAUUCAGCACUUCCACUGCUACAGCCUGGGUUCAAUCCCUGGCCUGGGAA